GGCGCACCGGGCGAUGGCGUCUUGCGAGAGUGCCCCGCCCAACGUCAUCGCAACAAUAUGGGGCUCCAUGUCGGCACCAAACAGUGUGGCGGCCGCUGCCACAACCGCGUGGUCGCCCACACGACAGGCGCGCGCGAUGAUCGCGACGGCGACGCAAAGCCUCGUCAAUCCGGUGCACAAGUAGGGCGCGUACACGUCGAGUCGCUUGCGCAGGUGGGCGCGCAGGGCAUUUUCAAAGACCACACGCGUGCCGCCGUUAGGAUAGGUGACGGUCCACUCGUCGCCAACGUCAUGAGCAGGGCCAGCAGGCGAGAUUGCGCCCGCACCCGACAGUGCACCGGUUCGGUCCAUAAAUGCCACAUCCGGGUCCCAACGCCCGACAAGCGUCAACACAGCGUCGACCGUCUGGGCGCCGUGUCCCUCAACGCCCGGUGGCGGUCGGCGGUCGAUGAGCAAAUUGGCCGUAUAGUCGACCGUGUCAUCAAAAAAGCGGCGGUCGGCAUCACGGUCCUGUGCAGUGCGCAGUGGCGGACCGAUGCCGCACGACAGGGCAACAUCGUCGUCGUCCAACUCGUAAUGGUGGCACAGAUAAUCACAGGCAAAGGACGUCUGAAAGGCCGACUCGUAGAUCAGUUGGCCCGUGUCGCGGCGCAAGUGGGCCACAACAGUUGUCGGGUCCGACUGUGUGCGCGCGGCCACUUUGAGUCUCUUGACGUGAUCGCGCACGCUGACCUUGAUCGUAGAGAUUGCCUCGUCGGCGCGCUUCUCCCGCUCGGCGGCGCGCUUGUGCUCGGGAUAGUCCAGCCACCAGUUGCGAUCCCCUUUUGACGACCAUGGUGCGUCGACGCCCGCGACAUGGGCAAUGUCCGAGUAGGCCUUUUCGUGGUUGCAGACGGCAGCCGAGUUUUUUAUUGCAGCAGUCCACCUCACGAGGCGUGAGAUUCCGCCCUCGGUCGACGCCGCACUGUCUUCGGCCGCAAAGGCCUCGGCCCACGAGGCAAAAGGCGACGACAUGCCGACGGUCCCACUCGGCGAGCGGCCAGGGUAGGGCCACGUAAAAGGCACACCGUCGACGCGCCUGCGCGUAUCAGACUCGACGCGCCACGACAAGAGGCCCAGUUCGGCGGCCCGCAACAUGCAGCCGGGCAGGGCGAGACCGACGGCGCGCGAGGACACGGCCAGGUGCAAGAUAUCGUUGGUGCUCAGUCGCGCGAGCACAAGUGCCGCCUCUACAGAGUGCUCCUGAAAGAGACGCGCGAGGUCCAUGGCGCCGUCCUCGUCUGCGCCGCCGCUGCUGAUUUGCAUGGGGUCUGGUAUCCUGUGCGCGUAAAAAAAGGAUGCCACUGCGUGCCAACGAGGUGGGGCACGGCAAGAAAAAAAAAGAUGCCCACCAAGACGGAAGAGGGAAAAUGUAUGCGCCAACCUUGGUCGCCUUUUUGACGACAAAUAAAAGGACAACGGCCAAUGGCCGCAAUAAAAAAAC
rnacentral:lncRNA from 1 species